ensembl:miRNA
UAUUAGGUUGGUGCAAAAGUAAUUGCGGUUUUUACCAUUACUUUCAAUGACAAAAACCACUAUUACUUUUGCACCAACCUAAUA